rnacentral:lncRNA from 1 species
UAAACUCCCAGUCAGCCUGUAUCGUAUACUAAGUGCUCCUGGUCUUUGGAGGUUUGCCCUCUAACCUAUGAACCCACUAACUCCCCACCCACCUCUCUCUUUGUUUUGUUUUCAAGAUAGGGUUUCUUUGUGUAAUCCUGGCUGUCCUGGAAAUCACUCUGUAGACCAGGCUGGCCUUGGACUCAGAAAUCUGCCUGCCUCUGCUGCCUGAGUGCUGUGAGGAAAGGUGUAUAUCACCACUGCCCGGCUAACCUCACUCACUUGAGGUGGCCUCUCUGUUCCCGAGGGCACCUUUCAGGAACUCUGAUUACGUUACCAGUUGCUCCUUUACCGGGUAGGGAGGCAGGGUAUGACCAUUUGCCACAGAGAAUGAAAGCCUGACAGAGGAGUCCGAUCUGUGAAGCUGACUCCCGGGCACCUCUUUCCUAGGGUUAGGUGAGGGGGAAGACGAGAUUGGGUGGCAGAUGGAUGGUAAAGAGCAAAAGCAGCAGAGAGACGACCAGGGACAGGGAGAGGUGGACAGAGAAGUGUGAAAAGUGGGGAAAUGAUGAGACGCAUUAGAACAAAGUAGUGGGCCAAAGAGAUGUAGGGGCAUACAGCUCCUGGCCGCUUGGAAAGGGACCAAGGCAAGGCAAGGUCCCUUUAUUAUAAGACGGAGUUUAUUAAGUACAGAUAAAAUACUCUUUUGAGCUAUAAGUGCAGGUGUGGUGGGUAAUGGAAUAGGUCCCUUGUUUAAAUGGUUUACCUCUUAUGGCUGCCUUCCUCCAUUCCAGAGGACACAUGCAUAUUUAAAUACUUAUUUGACUUGAGGUUAAAGCUGUGUACGGUUGGGUCCCUGGGUGAAACAGCACUAUAGUGACCUCUGCUGGCACUAGGCCCUGGGUGCUGACCCCUCCCUGCCCUUCCUCCCAGCGGGCUGAGGUAGGAUUGCUGGGGGUCUCUGGCUGGAGCCAAGGACAGAGCUUGCAGGCUAAAUUGUGGGUCACCUGGCAUGCUGCUUCCUCUAGCUCUCCAAAUCCCUGUUGUGAGGAAGAGAGUGUCCUGCUCGUGUUUCACCUUUGGUCUCUCCUCAAGAACUUCUCUCCACCUUCAUCUUUAUUCCUGGUCUUCUCCUUACCAGAUGCUGUGAUCACAUACUAUGAAGAUUCAAGGGGAUGGUUAAUUCCAGUGAUUUGAAUUUAAUGCGAUGCUAUGCAACUUACAGAAAGCAUGAAGCUGAUUUGUAUGCACAGACGUGGGAGAAGUAUGGGGACAAAUGGAGUGACAGAAGCGAGCUGCAGCACGGCAUGUCUAAUAGGAUGCAGCGUGUGCGCAUGCGUGUGCCGGAGGCCAGGCUGGGGAAGGUUGUCCGCGGAGCUCUGGAGACAAGAAUGACUUGGGGUGGGGAAGCCGUUUGGAACUUUUAAAAAAAUAUACUCUCCGUAUCGUUUUU